CCCUACGGGGUGCACCAGGCAGGACGCAUAAGGGCGCAAAAGAUGUAUUCGGCGUCUAUCUGUGAUCGCUGCGAUAGGGAAGUGCGGGUAUUGCGACACCAUAAGGACAGAAACCCGAUGAACAAUAAUCCCGAUAAUGUAGAAAUGCUUUGUUACUCAUGCCACGGCUACGAACACAGCCCAAAACGAAACGGGAACGCUAAUGGCUAAAAACGCUUCAUCUAUCUUCUAUUGGAACGAUUGGAUGAACGAUACGGAACUUCAACUUGCCUGUGCUUCAAGCAGGGGAAUUUGGGCUAACGCUUUAGCGAGAAUGGCGGGGGGGC
rnacentral:rRNA from 1 species